GGGAAUGUGGCUUAGUGGUAGAGUGCUUGCUUAGCAUGCAUGAAGCCCUGGGUUCGAUUCCUCAGCACCA
rnacentral:tRNA from 1 species